rnacentral:lncRNA from 1 species
GAUUGAUUUUGGAGAUGUGAGGUACACACACGGCUAAUGUGCAGGGUGUCGAUUUUUGCCCCUUCUUUUAAGUUAUAUUGGAGUACUUGCCAUUAUCGCUUGUGGCUGUGAUCCAUUAUUUCAAAGAUCACUUGUAGUUGCUUAGCUUAGCUAGUAUUACUGCAUUCCAAAUUAUAUCUGUUUUUUUUCAGACCCACUUUCUUGGAAUUGGGUCCAAGAACACUGGCAGAACUUUGAGGGAAAGGUCUCUUGAUGAUAUUGGGUGGUUUUGCGAGCGAAAUCUAGGCACCAUUU